rnacentral:rRNA from 1 species
UACGUAGGGUGCAAGCGUUAAUCGGAAUUACUGGGCGUAAAGCGUGCGCAGGCGGUGAUGUAAGACAGGUGUGAAAUCCCCGGGCUUAACCUGGGAACUGCAUUUGUGACUGCAUCGCUGGAGUGCGGCAGAGGGGGAUGGAAUUCCGCGUGUAGCAGUGAAAUGCGUAGAUAUGCGGAGGAACACCGGUGGCGAAGGCGGCUACCUGGACCGGUUCUGACGCUGAUGCGCGAAAGCGUGGGUAGCAAAGAGG